AUUGAACGCUGGCGGCAGGCCUAACACAUGCAAGUCGAACGAGUGGCGGACGGGUGAGUCAUGUCUGGGAAACUGCCUGAUGGAGGGGGAUAACUACUGGAAACGGUAGCUAAUACCGCAUACCAUCAGAUGUGCCACGAUGGGAUUAGCUAGUGGGUGGGGUAACAGCUCACCAAGGCGAAGCUCCCUAGCUGGUCUGAGAGGAUGACCAGCCACACUUGAACUGAGACACGGUCCAGACUCCUACGGGAGGCAGCAGUGGGGAAUAUUGCACAAUGGGCGCAAGCCUGAUGCAGCCAUGCCGCGUGUAUGAAGAAGGCCUUCGGGUUGUAAAGUACUUUCAGCGGGGAGGCGUUACCCGCAGAAGAAGCACCGGCUAACUCCGUGCCAGCAGCCGCGGUAAUUC
rnacentral:rRNA from 1 species